GUGCUUGCUUUGGCAGCACAUAUACUAAAAAUUAGAACAAUACAGAGAAGAUUAAGCACGGUCCCUGUGCAAAAAUGACACGUAAAGUAGAAAUAAGUUAUAGUAAUAA
ensembl:snRNA U6 U6 spliceosomal RNA